rnacentral:rRNA from 1 species
UCAUUAAAUCAGUUAUCGUUUAUUUGAUUAUACCUUACUACUUGGAUAACCGUGGUAAUUCUAGAGCUAAUACAUGCUGAAAACCCCGACUUCGGGAGGGGUGUAUUUAUUAGAUACAAAACCAAUGCCCUUCGGGGCUUCUUGGUGAUUCAUGAUAACUUCUCGGAUCGCAUGGCCUUGCGCCGGCGACGGUUCAUUCAAAUUUCUGCCCUAUCAACUUUCGAUGGUAAGGUAUUGGCUUACCAUGGUGGCAACGGGUAACGGGGAGUUAGGGCUCGACUCCGGAGAAGGGGCCAGAGUAAUAGCCACUACAUCCAAGGAAGGCAGCAGGCGCGCAAAUUAUCCAAUCCCGACACGGGGAGAUAGUGACCAGAAAUACUGAUACAGGGCUCUUUUGGGUCUUGUAAUUGGAAUGAGUACAAUCUAAACCUCUUAACGAGGAACAAUUGGAGGGCAAGUCUGGUGCCAGCAGCCGCGGUAAUUCCAGCUCCAAUAGCGUAUAUUAAAGUUGUUGCAGUUAAAAAGCUCGUAGUUGAACCUUGGGCCUGGCUGGCGGGUCCGCCUCACCGCGAGUACUUGCCCGGCCGGGCCUUUCCUUCUGGCGAACCUCAUGCCCUUCACUGGGUGUGCUGGGGACCAGGACUUUUACUUUGAAAAAAUUAGAGUGUUCAAAGCAGGCCUUUGCUCGAAUACGUUAGCAUGGAAUAAUAGAAUAGGACGGCGAUCCUAUUUUGUUGGUUUCUAGGACCGCCGUAAUGAUUAAUAGGGACAGUCGGGGGCAUCAGUAUUCAAUUGUCAGAGGUGAAAUUCUUGGAUUUAUUGAAGACUAACUACUGCGAAAGCAUUUGUCAAGGAUGUUUUCAUUAAUCAGUGAACGAAAGUUAGGGGAUCGAAAACGAUCAGAUACCGUUGUAGUCUUAACCGUAAACUAUGCCGACUAGGGAUCGGGCGAUGUUUCUAUCUUGACUCGCUCGGC